GCGAAAACUUUACAAUGCUGGCAACAGCGAUAAGGGAACCUCGAGUGCCAGGUUACAAAUCUGGCUGUCGAGAUGCCUAAAAAGCAUUUCAUAGCAAGGGCCGGGCAAGACCGGUGCCAGCCGCCGCGGUAACACCGGCGGCUCGAGUGGUAACCGUUAUUAUUGGGUCUAAAGGGUCUGUAGCCGGCCGGAUAAGUCUCUUGAGAAAUCUGGCAGCUUAACUGUCAGGCUUUCAGGAGAUACUGUCUGGCUCGAGGCCGGGAGAGGUGAGAGGUACUUCAGGGGUAGGGGUGAAAUCUUGUAAUCCUUGAAGGACCACCAGUGGCGAAGGCGUCUCACCAGAACGGACCUGACGGCAUGAGACGAAAGCUAGGGGCACGAACC
rnacentral:rRNA from 1 species